GAUGAACGCUGGCGGCGUGCCUAAUACAUGCAAGUCGAGCGAACAGACGAGGAGCUUGCUCCUCUGACGUUAGCGGCGGACGGGUGAGUAACACGUGGAUAACCUACCUAUAAGACUGGGAUAACUUCGGGAAACCGGAGCUAAUACCGGAUAAUAUAUUGAACCGCAUGGUUCAAUAGUGAAAGACGGUUUUGCUGUCACUUAUAGAUGGAUCCGCGCCGCAUUAGCUAGUUGGUAAGGUAACGGCUUACCAAGGCAACGAUGCGUAGCCGACCUGAGAGGGUGCUCGGCCACACUGGAACUGAGACACGGUCCAGACUCCUACGGGAGGCAGCAGUAGGGAAUCUGCCGCAAUGGGCGAAAGCCUGACGGAGCAACGCCGCGUGAGUGAUGAAGGUCUUCGGAUCGUAAAACUCUGUUAUUAGGGAAGAACAAAUGUGUAAGUAACUAUGCACGUCUUGACGGUACCUAAUCAGAAAGCCACGGCGAACUACGU
rnacentral:rRNA from 1 species